CUUUACUGUAGCUUUGCAUUGGACUUUGAACCGGUUUGUGUAGGAUAGGUGGGAGACUGUGAAGCCGGGACGCUAGUUUCGGUGGAGUCAACCUUGAAAUACCACCCUGAUUUGUUUGAGGUUCUAACCUUGGUCCGUGAAUCCGGAUCGGGGACCGUGCAUGGUAGGCAGUUUGACUGGGGCGGUCUCCUCCCAAAAGGUAACGGAGGAGUACGAAGGUACGCUUAGGGCGGUCGGACAUCGCCCACAAAGUGCAAUGGCAAAAGCGUGCUUGACUGCGAGACCCACAAGUCGAGCAGGUACGAAAGUAGGUCAUAGUGAUCCGGUGGUUCUGUAUGGAAGGGCCAUCGCUCAACGGAUAAAAGGUA
rnacentral:rRNA from 1 species